rnacentral:lncRNA from 1 species
ACUUCCUAAUUCUGCAUGCAACACUCUCCAGAGAGCUGAAGAGUUCACUGUCACUACCUUCAGACGUUUACUCAAAGAUCACCAUUCCAGUGAGAGCUUCCCUGAACAGCAUUUCUAAAAGUAUAACAUCCCAACUCCCAAGACCCCCCAGAGCAUUCUCUAUAUCGUUUUCCUGCAUAAUUUGUCUCCUUAUCACUUUUCACCAUCUGUUAUACCAUAUAUAGUAUUUUACUUUAUAUAGUAUUUCACUGGUAUAAUGAAAACUUUAAAUUUCUCAGUAUCUCCACAUCACCCAGUGGGGUGUUAAAUACUCACUGGAGUGUUAAGAAAAAGAGGCCAGGCGCACUGGCUCACGCCUGUAAUCCCAACACUUCGGGAGGCUGAGGCAGGAAAAUGGCAUGAACCCAGGAGGCAGAGCUUGCAGUGAACCGAGAUCACGCCACUGCACUCCAGCCUGGGCAACAGAGCGAGACUCUGUCUUAAAAAAAAAGAAAAAGAAAAAUU